rnacentral:tRNA from 1 species
GCUCAGUGGUAGAGCGCUUGCCUAGCAAGCGAAAGGCCCUGGGUUCGGUCCCCAG